rnacentral:rRNA from 1 species
UACAGAGGGUGCAAGCGUUGCUCGGAUUUACUGGGCGUAAAGCGUACGCAGACGGUGAAGAAGGUCGGAUGUGAAAGCCCUGGGCUCAACCCAGGAACUGCAUCCGAAACCGCUUCGCUAGAGUAUGAGAGAGGAAAGCGGAAUUCCUGGUGUAGAGGUGAAAUUCGUAGAUAUCAGGAGGAACACCUGCGGCGAAGGCGGCUUUCUGGCUCAUUACUGACGUUCAGGUACGAAAGCGUGGGUAGCAAACAGG